AAGCUCGGAGGUUCGGUCCAUUCGCGAGUUCGAUCCCGAGUUGUGCUCGUGUUCUUUCUACGAUCCUCCCUUGGGAAGAGACGCCGACUAGCAGUCCGUGAAGCCAGCGUGGGACUUCCAUACGACGAUGGAGAUCGCUAAAGUGAACGAGUCCGGAGACAGCCUGUUGGAGCAGUCUCUGAACGUGUCGGCGGAAUCGAAAUCGGUCGCGACGAUGAAGUCCGUGCAGAGCGUGCAGACGAAGUCGGUGAUCGAGUCCUCGACGUCCGUGAAGUCCGUGACCUCGUCGUCGUCCAAGUCGCAGCAGUCGAUGGAGUACGAGGAGACGGUCGAGUACAGCGAUUAGCCGGGACGCGACAUCACCAGCAGAUUCAGAAAACCCCAUUCGACGUCGUUUACCACACGCAGGAGAGGACUGGGCGCGGUGUAUAUUUUUGUCUCUGCCCCAGCCGUGACUCCAGCCUCGCGAAAGGACUCGGGUACGGAGCACAGCUGGGGAAUCGUUUCGGAAAACUCUUCGCGUUCCUCCGAUACCAUGCCGAUGGCGAUCCGGCCCAGCGAACCACGGAAUGUCCUUCCACGUUCUGCAUUCCCAUUCGAGACGGGUCGAGGGACGUGCGGACACUACGAACGAGAACGUUCGCCGGAUGACGCAGCCGUGAUGCACUCGAGACCGCGUCGCGGCCGCGCGGAGUCGGCCGACCGGCAGGUCAAGGCGUCCAGCGAUCGGGCCGCGCGACGGAAAUAACCAACGGCUUGUGAUAACGAAGAGAAGAAGGAAUCGAAGGAACGUUCGGAAGCCUCGAGCACUCCUGGCUCUCCUCCAAUCGGCAUAGUUCACCGCCAAAUACCGACUCGCUUUCCCUCGGAUACUCCUCAAUAUCGUCUGCCCGAUCCUACUCCGAACAACCCUCUCCGUCAUCGUCACGUCUCGAACCCUACGCUUCAUCGACAGACCGUUCCAUAAUCUUUGUACAAUAAAGUUUCUAAGAUA